rnacentral:rRNA from 1 species
UGGGGAAUCUUGGACAAUGGGGGCAACCCUGAUCCAGCCAUGCCGCGUGAGUGAUGAAGGCCUUAGGGUCGUAAAGCUCUUUCGCCUGUGAAGAUAAUGACGGUAGCAGGUAAAGAAACCCCGGCUAACUCCGUGCCAGCAGCCGCGGUAAUACGGAGGGGGUUAGCGUUGUUCGGAAUUACUGGGCGUAAAGCGCACGUAGGCGGACCAGAAAGUUGGGGGUGAAAUCCCGGGGGCUCAACCCCGGAACUGCCUCCAAAACUAUUGGUCUAGAGUUCGAGAGAGGUGAGUGGAAUUCCAAGUGUAGAGGUGAAAUUCGUAGAUAUUUGGAGGAACACCAGUGGCGAAGGCGGCUCACUGGCUCGAUACUGACGCUGAGGUGCGAAAGUGUGGGGAGCAAACAGGAUUAGAUACCCUGGUAGUCCACGCCGUAAACGAUGAGUGCUAGUCGUCGGCAGGCAUGCCUGUCGGUGACGCAGCUAACGCAUUAAGCACUCCGCCUGGGGAGUACGGUCGCAGAUUAAAACUCAAAGGAAUUGAC